rfam:Desulfitibacter sp. BRH_c19 BRHa_1003628, whole genome shotgun sequence.
UAGUGUGAUAGUAAAUUACCUGAUGCCCAAGCAGCUCACGAGUUUACUUUAACUGCGCUAUUACCAGCGUUGGCAGGUGCCAACAUGAUAUAUGGUUUAG